rnacentral:rRNA from 1 species
GAUGAACGCUGGCGGCGUGCUUAACACAUGCAAGUCGAACGAUGAAGCCCAGCUUGCUGGGUGGAUUAGUGGCGAACGGGUGAGUAACACGUGAGUAACCUGCCCUUAACUCUGGGAUAAGCCUGGGAAACUGGGUCUAAUACCGGAUAGGAGCGUCCACCGCAUGGUGGGUGUUGGAAAGAUUUAUCGGUUUUGGAUGGACUCGCGGCCUAUCAGCUUGUUGGUGAGGUAAUGGCUCACCAAGGCGACGACGGGUAGCCGGCCUGAGAGGGUGACCGGCCACACUGGGACUGAGACACGGCCCAGACUCCUACGGGAGGCAGCAGUGGGGUAUAUUGCACAAUGGGCGCAAGCCUGAUGCAGCGACGCCGCGUGAGGGAUGACGGCCUUCGGGUUGUAAACCUCUUUCAGUAGGGAAGAAGCGAAAGUGACGGUACCUGCAGAAGAAGCACCGGCUAACUACGUG